GUGGAGCAUGUGGCUUAAUUUGACUCAACGCGGGGAAUCUUACUAGGUCAGGACCGAUUCAUGAGUGUCACCGUAAUGUGUCGCCGGUACAUGAUUGUUGGAUGAGUGGUGCAUGGCCGUUCUUAGUUCGUGGUGUGAUUCGUUGCAUUAAUUUGUUUCGUAUCAUUGCCUCGCGGCGAAGAACGUAAAAACGAACGAGACCGUGGCCUGUAAUUUAAAACUACAGGGACAGGGGAACAAUACUACUACACACCAGGAAGGGCACGGCAAUAACAGGUCUGUGAUGCCCUCAGAUGUUCUAGGCCGCACACGUGCUACAAUUGAUUCCGUAGGUUUCAGUUGGCGCGCGUGUGUUGUGAGAUCCCCCGCGUCGAGUCUAAUUGAGUCCACUAGUUGAGAUUACCGGUUGUAACUAUCUGGUACCACAACUAGGAAUGCCUCGUACGGUGGGAUCAACGAGUUCCAUUGGAAUCCGUCCCUGCCCUUUGUACACACCGCCCGUCGCUCUUACCGAUGGCGGUGGUUUCGAAUGUCACCGAGUGGGUUGUUGGUUUAAUAUACUCGCGACUCGCAACGUAAUGUAAGAAACCGCCGCUAAAGGAAAGAGAAGUCGUAACAAGGCAUCG
rnacentral:rRNA from 1 species